CGCUUGACAUCGAUCCGCCGCCUCCUCCACCGGUCGCCCACCAGGGAUACACCAUCGCUACCCUCACCGCUGCUCGUGCGGAACACGCGGCGUGACAGGCCCGUUUGCGGGAAGCGGCCCUCGUGUGGGAGCGCGAGCGCGAGGCCACCGACGCUAUCGCUGCUCAGAUUGCUGCGGCGGAACAGCUCCUCGCCUACGACCCACGACGGUGGGGUCACCUCCUCUGCCACCAUGGGCGGCACGACCGUCGGAACCGUGCCCCGCACCAUCCCCACGAUGCUCUGGCAUGACCCGGCUAACCCGCUCGUGGCUCAACUCAACCUUCAGGCUGGGAGUGUCCAAAACAUUCGCCUCAUGGUCCACAUCGUCCUGGAGUCAGAGUCGCCAUCCUACGCACGCUGGCGGGACAUCCUCCUACUCACCCUUCGCCGCUACGCCCUCGAUGACCACGUCCUCUGCGAUCCCAUCGGUGUGGCACCGACUACCGCGUGGGUGCGCCUCGACAGCAUCAUGCUCACCUGGAUCGUGGGGACGAUCUCCGUCGACCUACACAGCCUCCUCCGGAACAUUCCUCACGCUCGGGCUGCUUGGCUGGCCAUCAAGGGUCAGUUCCUUGGCAAUGCCGAGGCCCGGGCUCUCCGCCUCGACGCGGCCUUCCGGACUUUUGUCUAGGGGGACCUCAGCGUCAGUGAGUACUGCCGCAAGAUGAAGGCCAUGACAGACUCACUUGGCAAUCUGGGCUGCCCCAUGGAGGACCGCAUGCUCGUCCUCAAUGUUCUUCGCGGCCUCAGCGAUCGCUACACCCACCUCCGGUCGUUGAUCAUGCGCCAGCGCCCCUUCCCUACCUUCCUCCAGGUCCGCGACAACCUUGCCCUGGAGGAGAUCACAAUGGGUACUCAGGCUGCAUUGAUCUCCGGCCCGGGGUCCUCAUCCUCCUCGACAGCCCUGGUAGCUCUCACCCUGAUCCGUCCACCUACUCCGGCACCGUCCGGGCCGAGCAAGGGUGGCGGGGGUUGACGUGGCGGCAGCGGGGGCGAUGGUGGGCGUCGCCGUCGUGGUGGCCGCGGUGGUGGUGGUGGUUCCGACAGUGGUGCCCGUGCCCACGCACCGAUGCCAGGACCUCAGCAGGGAGCGCCUUGGCCCACUUUCCACCACCCGUGGUCAGGACGCAUCUCCAUGUGGCCGUUAUAGGGGCCCGAUUCUGAGGCUCGUCCCCCGGCGGCCAUGUUCGCUGGCGCGCAGCCGGGGUUCACCUCGCCACUGGGGUUUGCCUUCGCUUCUUCGUCACCCUGGACCUCGCCUGCCGCUUCGUCGUGCCCCACACCGUCGCCUGCUCCACCGUCCGGGCUGGUUGGUUGGGACGCAGCCACCCUGGCUGCCUUCCAGACUCCCACUCUGACUCCGCCGAUGGGUCCCGAGUGGAUCGCGGACACCGGUGCUACCUACCACACCACUCCCGACCCUGGUAUACUCACCUCUGUUCGCCCUCCUUCUUCCUCUCUCCCUUCGUCCAUCAUGGUGGCGAAUGGCUCGUGUCUCCUUGUCACAUCUAUGGGCGCCGCCGGCUCUCCCGGCUCUUUUCGCAUUCCCGAUGUUCUUGUCGCUCCUUCUUUGGUCCACAAUCUUCUUUCUAUUCAUCGUUUUACUACUAAUAAUUCUUGUUCUGUCGAGUUUGACUCUUCUGGUCUUACUGUGAAGGACUCGGAAACCCGACGCCCCCUCCUCCGAUGUGAUAGCACCGGCCCCCUAUACACCCUUCGGCUUCCGCAUGCCACCCCUUCUUCGUCUUCGACACCUACCACUGCUGCUGCUUUUGCUGCCACCACGUCUUCUACCACCUGGCAUCGUCGCCUUGGUCACCCCGGACACGAUGCCUUGAUGCAGCUUACUCGUAGUGCCACUAUUCCAUGUACUAGAUCAAAUGAUGAGCAUCUUUGUCAUGCGUGCUAGUUAGGCUGCCAUGUUCAUCUUCCUUUCUGUUCUUCUUCCUUGCAUGCUACUCAUGCAUUUGAUCUUGUACACUGUGAUUUGUGGACUUCACCUAUUACCAGUAUGUCAGGCUACAAAUACUAUCUUGUGGUACUUGAUGAUUUUUCUCAUUAUGUGUGGACUUUUCCUUUGCGUGCCAAGUCUGAGACUUUCCCUGCCCUCCGCCACUUCUUCGCCUGGGUGUCCACUCAGUUCGGCCUCCCCAUUAAGGCCAUUCAGUGUGACAAUGGUCGGGAGUUUGAUAACUCCACCUCCCGCGACUUUUUUCUCUCCCACGGGAUGCAGCUGCGGAUGUCUUGCCCGUAUACCUCCUCCCAAAACGGGAAGGCUGAGCGCAUGAUCCGCAUGACCAACGACACCAUCCGCACUCUUCUUCUCUAGGCACACCUUUCGGCACGCUUCUGGGCCGAGGGCCUCCACACCUCUACCUACCUCCUCAACUGUCUUCCUUCCACUGCAUGCCCGGCCCCCACUCCUCACCAGGCACUCUUCGGUACCCCUCCACGCUAUGACCAUCUUCGUGUCUUCAGGUGUGCAUGUUACCCGAACACUGCUGCUACGGCUCCUCACAAGCUUGCACCCCGGUCCACCCUCUGUGUGUUUCUCGGGUACUCCCUAGACCAUAAGGGCUACCGAUGCUUUGACCUAUCCUCUUGCUGGGUCCUCAUCUCUCGCCAUGUGGUGUUUGAUGAGUUCGUCUUUCCCUACUCCUCCACCACCACACCACCCUCCUCCGACCCUGACCUUGACCUCUUCACUCUUUUUCCGACUGACGCGGUGGUCGAGCCACCUAUUCUUCCUCUCUCUGCAGGUACUCGCUCACCACUUGUCGAUCCUACUCCUAGCCCGGUGCCUUGCCCGGGUCCGAUGGGGUCGCCUACGGUGGUGUCGCCUCUCUGCGGCCCCGUCUCCGCUCGCCCCCGGGCCUAGCGGGGGUGGUGGGUCUGCACCACCUGCGGGGCCGUCGGUACCGACCCCUCCGGCCCGCUUCGCGCAGCCUAUGUGGGUCUACCAGUGCCGGCCUCCGGUGCCCACGUCGCCGGCUGUGGGACCGCCACCGCCGGUCCCUCCAGCACGCUUCGCCCAGCCGGUGUGCGUCUACCAGAGCCGGCUGCCGCCGCUGGGGUUCGCACCUCCACCACCGUCGUCGCCACCACCACCGCCGUCCCUACCCAUGACCUCCCCUCCGGCGGCACCGCCGGUGGCCCAGUCCCCGCCGGGGAUGCCUAUCCCUCCGCCGCGGCACGUGUCGCAACACCGGUGUACCACCCACCGCUCCUUCAUCGCGACCCGCGGCACGUCCAUCCGAUGGUGACGCGGCAUGCGGCUGGUACCCUACCGCCCCGAGCCAUGGCGACCACGACCGGAGACUCCUAGAUUUCUCCAGUACCCUCCUCCGUCCGCACCGCCCUGCUGGACCCCCACUGGCGUAGGGCGAUGGAGGAGGAGUACGCGACGCUCGUCGCCAACCAGACGUGGGAUCUGGUGCCCUGUCCGCCCGGCACCAACGUCGUCACCGGCAAGUGGAUCUGGACUCACAAGCGGUGGGCCGAUGGUACCCUGGAGCGGUACAAGGCUCGCUGGGUCCUUCGGGGCUUCACUUAGUGCCCCGGAGUCGACUACAAUGAGACCUUCAGCCCGGUUGUGAAGCCGACUACUGUCCGCACGGUGCUCUCACUGGCCCUUGCUCGCUCCUGGCCAGUUCACCAGCUCGAUGUCAAGAACGCCUUCCUGCACGACGCCCUCACCGAGACCGUCUACUGAUGUCAGCCUGUGGGGUUCGUAGACUCCUCUCGCCCUGACAUGGUCUGCCGACUCAACAGGUCCCUCUACGGCCUUAAACAGGCCCCCCGAGCGUGGCACCCCAGACUGGCUAUGUUCCUGGUGACACUGGCCUUCGUGGAGGCCAAGUCAGACAUGUCUCUGUUCGUCCACCAUCAUGGAGCAGAGACUGCCUACUUGCUUCUCUACGUGGAUGACAUUGUCCUCACCGCCUCCAGUCAGUCACUUCUUCGCCGCCUCGUCGACGCGCUUCAGCGGGAGUUUCCAGUCUGGGCGUCCUUCAUCAUUUCCUGGGGGUCACUACUGAGCCUCGCCCCUCAGGACUCCUCCUUCACCAGCGGCAAUACACUCUUGACAUUCUAGAGCGGGCCAAGAUGAUUGCCUGCAAGCCCUGCUCUACCCUAGUUGACACGUAGGCGAAGCUUUCUGAGGCCACGGGUGACCCAGUCGAGGACCCCACCGGGUACAGGAGUCUUGCCGGUGCUCUUCAGUACCUCACCUUCACUAGGCCGGACAUCUCCUACGCCGUGCAGCAGAUCUGUCUCCAUAUGCACGACCCCCGAGAGCCCCACCUCACGGAUCUCAAACGCCUCCUUCGCUACCUUCGGGGCACUGUCGACUACAAGCUACUUCUUCACCGGUCUACCUCCUCCGAGCUCGUCGUCUACACCGACGUCGACUGGGCCGGGUGCCCAGACACUCGACGCUCCACCUCCGGCUACGCCGCUUCUUAGGCGGCAAUCUGGUGUCCUGGUCAUCGAAGUGCCAGCCGGUCGUCUCUCGCUCGAGUGCCGAGGCGGAGUACCGUGCUGUGGCCAACGGUGUGGCGGAGGUUGCCUGGCUCCGGUAGCUCCUCGUCGAGCUUCAUAGUCCCCUCUCCAGGAGCACAUUGGUCUACUGCAACAACGUCAGCGCGGUCUACCUCUCCACCAACCCCGUGCAGCACCAGUGGACCAAGCAUGUAGAGAUCGAUCUCCACUUCGUCCGUGAUUAUAUCGCCGCCGGUGCUGUUCGGGUCCUCCACGUCCCGACCACCUCCCAGUUUGCUUAUAUCUUCACCAAGGGCCUUCCGUCCUCGACCUUCGCUGAGUUUCGCUCCAUCCUCAACAUCAGUAGUGGCUAGUUGCGACUGUGGGGGGAUCCUAUGGUGUAAUGUUCGGUGUAAUGUACUCUUCCUUUUUUGAGUCCAGUCUGUAAACUCCGCUGCGACGGAAGUUCAGACUGCGGGGGGGUGUUAGAGUAUAUAUGGUAGGCCCAUGUGACUAGGCCCAUGUGGCCCAUGUAUAAUACUAUAUAGCUACCCAUUAGGGUUAGCCCAAGUAUGGAUUUACACUGCAAUACUCGGCAUGUCGAUGUAAUGCACAUUAUUAACUAAUUUAAUAAUUUUAUAUGGAAGAAAACUAGGUCCAUGUAAACAUCAACUGCUUCUCAUAAAUAUCCCAUAUGCUUGAAUUGCAUAUUCCACACCUCUGAGACUUGCUGAGUCCAAGAGGUCCAAGAUGUCAAGGAAUUGAAGGACUGAACCGUCCAUAUGGUGGUGUUUUGUCUGGUACUACAGUUAGAAAGAGGUGAUCAUUUUUUCGCAUCUCGUGCUCAUCUGUCAUCUGUUAAAAUGAUUGAUUGUGAAACUAAGACAACGCUAAAGUAACAAUAGUUUCUUCACUCCAGUUUUUCUUUUCUAGAUCAUUAUUUUUUAAUCAUCCUCUAUUCAGUUCUGUGUUUCUACAGAUUUGCUUGAGAAUCCAUAGAUAUGCAAAUAAGCAUUUACGUUACAAUUUCAUAUCACUGGUUGAAGGUAGUACAAUACACGGGCUCGAACGAAGUAGUGGAAUUAUGAAUUACAAUGGUUUGAAUUGUUUGGUUUGGUUUUUGUCCCAAAGAAAAUGGGACCAAACUAAGAGAAUUUCUUCUACUUCAAUUAAACUCUAAAACUGAAAUAAGAUAUAAUAUUAUGAGGCUGGUUCAACUCAAGGAAAAUGGCCAUUUGUGAUUUCCUUCUGUCUGGGUUCGUUCAGCCAGUAAAGUCAAGUUUUGGCGGAGAUAAAAAUCCCACCAUAUUAUAUCUCGUCAUAUCAGCAAAUUUUAGACACAAAUUUUCUUAUGAAGAAAUUUGUCACAGACAUGAAAUGUAAAGGUACUGAAAUGAAGUAAUGCAGGCUAGAAUUUAUGAUCAAUGCUGAUAUAAAACAACAGAUGUUUUGUAUUUCUACAGAAAUGAAACAAAUACUCUUUAUCAGAUGACAUGAACUAAGAACUAGUCAUGGUUUCGCUGUGCCUCCUGUUUCGUGUUUGUUAGUUUGGUGGAUUUUUGAUCGACUGUUUGUUUUUUCUUGUAUUUGUCACGGACACCUUGUUGGGUACAAAUUCAUACCACAAGUUGUGCUACAAAGAGCUGCAUCAUCCAAAAUGUGAUGUCUCCCUUCAGUUUGUAAGGUUUCCUCAGAAACCUGAAUGAUCUGCACCACAUACUGAUAAAUUGCAUAUGCAUUAGUAUUUGUACAGAUCCUAACGAAAAGGAGUGGCUUGAUAGAGUACAGAGCCCACCCAUUCUAGGGCCAGAAGUAUUGCCGUUUGCAUGAGCAUGAUUGGACGCGAUGUUGCUGCAACUGUGAAGAAAUGGAGGUUAAGGGAUGAUAUUUCUAACCAUGGCCACUUGGUAAGCUGAAUACUCCUCGGUCUGCAUCUGCCGAAAACUCGUGUAAGGCACAUUGCCAGACUCUUGGCCUCCAUGCUCCGCCUUGAGCAGGGCUGUCUCAUGGGGGAGACAGCCUCCAUCAACAAGACCUCCUGCCCGGUCCCGCCACUGGAAUGCCGACAGAUGCAGCUCUAAAGGUGAAUAUUUCUAAAACUUAUACAUGCUAUUCGCAUUCUACUAUUUUUUCAAUCUUUGAAUACUUAUUAGUUAACUCUGAUUCACCAGCUACAAAUGUAGUUGAUCAUCAGGCUGCAAACAGCCUCCUAGAUAUAGUACAACUGACAAACUAAAACUGGUGUUCUCACAUGUGUUGGUCCAAUGCUAAUCAGGACAAGAUUGUUGUCUAGAAAAAUAAUCACUUAAGUAUAUGGUUUCGAGGUUUGUCUUUAAUUAGCAAAUCAUCAAUAUCUUGGUAGUGAUAAUUCUUGGGCUACUUAUAAUGAUUACAUUGUUCAUGCAUGAGCUGCAGUUUUAUCUCACAACAUACACAAUGCAUCAGGUAUGAUUGGUCAUAACUUAUAUUUUCAUGUCUGACUGCUAUAUGCAGACAUGUAUCUAUUUGUGUUAUCAUUUGCUUGUAUAUAUGCAGCUUAUGUCCAUCAUUCUUCGGGUUUGCAGAUGACUGCAUCUUCGUGUAUGAAGGGCUAUCUAUUCCUGUUUUGUUCAGUUAUGCAGCCUCACGGACUCCUUCCCCUUCUGCUCCCUCGGAUACAAGGCGUGUUAGAGUUUGAGACCGCGAGCAAACGUACCCAUCCAUCCUUUACUCUUUCUCCAAGCCAUAUAGUAUGAGCAUGAACCUAGUAUUAAAUAAAGGAAGAAACUCUUCCAGAGAAGAUUCGAAUGCGCACCCAGCCAUCAGCCGACAUGCAAGAGUUGAGUACUUUCUUCAGAACCAUAGACAGACUUCCAAUAUUCAUCCACCAUUUUUUAGUUCCCAAUGCAUUGUACAUUUCAACACAAAAGAUACAACCACUACUUUAAAAAUGUGCCCUCUACAGAUAACAUACCCAAGCAUGGACCAACUCCAUAGGAGCAAAAACAUCAUAAAAAGAAAAGAAAAAUUAAACAGACACCACCAGAUUAACAGGAUAUGCUUGCUACUGUGUUUUUGCAGGGUGUAAGAUAUACAUCACAAGGCCAGUACGUUCUGCAUCAAUUAUCUUGUCCUUGAGGGUCGCCCUUCCGCUUCGUGGUGCCUCGGGGCCAAGAUGAUUUGUUGGCUCUUGACAAGCGCCUAUCCUCCUGCUCUUGCUUGUCAUCCAAUAACUCGACUGUCAGCUCGGUGGUUGUUUCAGGCCAUGGAGUGCGCUUUGCAGGGACGACGACUUCCAAAGGAAGGGGAGAUUAUCAGGCAACAGCAAACAGAGAUGAAUCCUCCAGAUCCUCCACCGGUUGGAAUCGAUCAAGUGGUUGCUGCCCAAAUGCCGGUAAUACAACAAAUGGCAGAAGUGGUUAACGAAAUGCAAAAUCAGAUAAGACACAAACGCCAGAAAAUACGUCAGGACCGACUGGAGAUGCGACAAACAAUAAGACAAGCACAGUUGGAAAGACAACAACAACGCCCACUAUCUCUACCACCACCACCAGCUCCACCAAGCUACAUAAACAUAUAUAUUACUAAUAUUUGUAAGACCUAAAUGUUACUUUAGUUAGUGGUUGGUAUGAUACUAUUUUAGGAGGAAUAAUAAGGUCUAAUUGACCCCAUGUGUUGCUAAUAAAGUAUGGAUCAUGCUGAGAUUUUGU